ACCUCGUGGUUGGGACAUUAUAUGAGAUUUCCAUUGAAUCUUUCCCACACCUCAUACAAGGUUUCACAAUUCAAAUGCCGAAAAUUAAUGAUUUCAUCAUGUAAUU